rnacentral:rRNA from 1 species
AUGAACGCUGGCGGCGUGCCUCAUACAUGCAAGUCGCGCGAACAGACGAGGAGCUUGCUCCUCUGACGUUAGCGGCGGACGGGUGAGUAACACGUGGAUAACCUACCUAUAAGACUGGGAUAACUUCGGGAAACCGGAGCUAAUACCGGAUAACAUGUUGAACCGCAUGGUUUAACAGUGAAAGACGGUCUUGCUGUCACUUAUAGAUGGAUCCGCGCCGCAUUAGCUAGUUGGUAAGGUAACGGCUUACCAAGGCAACGAUGCGUAGCCGACCUGAGAGGGUGAUCGGCCACACUGGAACUGAGACACGGUCCAGACUCCUACGGGAGGCAGCAGUAGGGAAUCUUCCGCAAUGGGCGAAAGCCUGACGGAGCAACGCCGCGUGAGUGAAGAAGGUCUUCGGAUCGUAAAACUCUGUUAUUAGGGAAGAACAAAUGUGUAAGUAACUAUGCACGUCUUGACGGUACCUAAUCAGAAAGCCACGGCUAACUACGUG